CCUACGGGAGGCAGCAGUGAGGAAUAUUGGUCAAUGGGCGCGAGCCUGAACCAGCCAAGUAGCGUGAAGGAUGACUGCCCUACGGGUUGUAAACUUCUUUUAUAAAGGAAUAAAGUGAGGCACGUGUGCCUUUUUGUACGUACUUUAUGAAUAAGGAUCGGCUAACUCAGUGCCAGCAGCCGCGGUAAUACGGGGGAUCCGAGCGUUAACCGGAUUUAUUGGGUUUAAAGGGAGCGUAGAUGGGUUGUUAAGUCAGUUGUGAAAGUCUGCGGCUCAACCGUAGAAUUGCAUUUGAUACUGGCCGUCUUGAGUACUGGAGAGGCAGGCGGAAUUCGUGGUGUAGCGGUGAAAUGCUUAGAUAUCACGAAGAACUCCGAUGGCGAAGGCAGCUUGCUAGACUGCAACUGACGUUGAUGCUCGAAAGUGUGGGUAUCAAACAGGAUUAGAUACCCGGGUAGUC
rnacentral:rRNA from 1 species